rnacentral:lncRNA from 1 species
UUGGCUGUGUAUAUUUUUGAUCUACUAGACUAUUAUAUAACAUUUUAUUAUAGAUAUCUUUUGCUUGUAUUUGUUUAUUUCCCCAUCUCAAAUUAUCCUUAUUGAUACUGAUUUUACUCUUUAAAGAGUUUUCUUUAAUUAGAACUUGCUGCCAUUCCUUUGGGAUGGAAGAUUUUAAUAUCGUAAACUCUGCAAUCCAAUUAGACUUAUUGCUUAAUUUUUCUAAAAUAAAAACCUCUGAUAACUUUCCCUCACGAUCAAGUAUGUCGUUGAUAUAAAUCAAACCACUUGCUACCCAGUUUUGAAAGAACAAACUUUUGUUACAAUGUUUAACGUAUCUAUUUCCCCAAAUAAUCUGUUUUCUAAUAUUUGAAAAAUGAUCUUUAAAUUUUGUAAAACCUCCCCC